UGAGAAGGAUAAGGGCAGAUUGGAGGUGCCAGUGUUGCAGUUGAACAAAGGAGACUAUGGAGCCAUGAGGGAGGAGCUGGCCAAAGUUAAUUGGACGGAUAUCCUAGCAGAAAAGACAGCGGAACAGCAAUAGCAGUUCAACCCAGGAUGGAUGGAAAGUGUGCAAGGGGCCAGCCGGAUUCGAACCCAGGACUAUUUGCCUCGAAGUCCAGUGCUGAUGCCAGCACACCACCGGCCAGCAAGAUACCCCCUUGACCAGUAAGCAACCUUAAUAUGUGGAUGCAAAAUAAUGAAGAUGCUAGAAUGUGGAGCAACACUCAGAAAGCUGGGGGAAGUCAGAGGGUCAGAAAGCAUCUGGACUGUGAUGAGGUAUCUCAACCUGAAAUGAUGACUAUCUAUUUCCCAUUAUAGAUGCUGAAUGGCUCUUAACAUUUGUACUAAAAACCAUAACUUGUGAUUUCAAUGGAAUGAGUCAUUUUAAAAACAUUAACAUUUAAGUUGAAAUAAAUAAUUUAAAAGCAAUUCAUUAAUUGUAUGUUAGCAAUCAAAUAGUAGAAUCAUUAGCCUUUGUAAAUAAAGAAAUCAUGACAAAAUAUUUAUUGUAAUU